UGGGGAAUUUUGGACAAUGGGCGAAAGCCUGAUCCAGCCAUGCCGCGUGCAGGAUGAAGGCCUUCGGGUUGUAAACUGCUUUUGUACGGAACGAAAAGACUCUGGUUAAUACCUGGGGUCCAUGACGGUACCGUAAGAAUAAGCACCGGCUAACUACGUGCCAGCAGCCGCGGUAAUACGUAGGGUGCAAGCGUUAAUCGGAAUUACUGGGCGUAAAGCGUGCGCAGGCGGUUAUAUAAGACAGAUGUGAAAUCCCCGGGCUCAACCUGGGAACCGCAUUUGUGACUGUAUAGCUAGAGUACGGCAGAGGGGGGAUGGAAUUCCCGCGUGUAGCAGUGAAAUGCGUAGAUAUGCGGAGGAACACCGAUGGCGAAGGCAACCCCCUGGGCCUGUACUGACGCUCAUGCACGAAAGCGUGGGGAGCAAACAGGAUUAGAUACCCUGGUAGUCCACGCCCUAAACGAUGUCAACUGGUUGUUGGGUCUUCACUGACUCAGUAACGAAGCU
rnacentral:rRNA from 1 species